UGGAUGGCGCUGAAGCGGGCGACCGACACCAUGCCGUUUGAGCAAGAAAAAGCUCAGAUGAGUAGGAGGGCGUGGGGAUUGUGUCGAAGCAUGCGUGCAAACGUGUGUGGAACGGUCUCUAGUGCAGAUCUUGGUGGUAGUAGCAAGUAUUCAAGUGAGAUCCUUGAAGGGCGAAGCGGGGAAGGGUUCCACGCGAACAUUGAUUGGGCGUGGGUGAGUC
rnacentral:rRNA from 1 species